CGGUGAUUAGCUCAGUCUGGUAGAGUGUUCGGUUUGGGGCCGAAAAGUCGAAGGUUCAAAUCCUUCAUCACCGACCA
rnacentral:tRNA from 2 species